rnacentral:lncRNA from 10 species
GUUCUUUCAGCUUAAUAAAAACCCUAAUUGAGGAGUCUCUAGCUGCUUGCUCACACCUGCUUUUACUCUAACCUGGACAACUCACAGUCAAGACCUUCCGUCCGGUAACAAAGCAACAGACCUCAGUCAUGUCAUCUGCUUACAAAGGAGCCACGAAUCAAGACCGAUUCCGUGUGCUCUUGACGAUUCUGUUACACUCCUGCAGGUACGUUUCCAUUCCUGUGUUAUGUUCAGAGAAUGCACUGUAUUUGCAUUUGAAAUGUGCCUACUUUGACAGUUCCUAGCAAUUGGUCAGUAGGAGGCUGGAGCUUGAAAAAUGCGUAGGAGGAAGGUGAAAUAGAAUGGGAUGGCUGCAAAGAGGAAGAGGGAGUGGGAAUCCCAAGCAAUUUUCAGUUUUGCUACCACUAAGAUUCUUUUUUUGUUUGUUUGUUUUUUGUUUUUUGAGACGAAGUCUUGCUCUUGUCCCUAAGGCUGGAGUGCAAUGGCAUGAUCUCGGCUCACUGGUUCAAGCGAUUCUCCUGCCUCAGUCUCCCGAGUAGCUGGGAUUGCCACC